ACAGCGGCCUGCUUCUUCCGCUCUCUGCUCAGUGCUGAGUCUGCUCCGUCCGUCUCCGUGCCGUGUGCUGGCGGUGGCGGUCCAGGCCCCGCUCGCUCCUACCAGUGGCCCGUGCGUGCGGCCGCCGGCGCCCUGAUCGAUCGACCCGCGCCUCGGCCGGAUGGAGGCGUCAGUAGCAGCAGCAGGAGGUGGGGGAGGCAGCGCCGCCACGCGGAGCAGCCCGGCGGCCGUGCAGGCCACCAACGACGACGCCGCGGCCAGCAAGCUGUCCUGUGUUAACAAAGGAUACAUGAAGGAUGAUUAUGUGCGGUUUUUUGUUAGGCGACCAACAAGAAGGGCUCCAAUAAUCAAUCGUGGGUAUUAUGCGCGUUGGUCUGUUCUCAGGACGCUUCUGCAUCAAUUCCUCAAUGCGGGGAAGAAUAGUAACAAUGACAAGCCUAAACAAAUAUUAUCCCUUGGUGCUGGCUUUGACACAACAUUCUUCCAGUUGCAAGAUGAAGGAAUGGCUCCACACUGUUAUGUAGAAUUGGAUUUCAAGGAGGUAACCAGCAAAAAAGCCGCCAUCAUUAACCAUUAUAGUGAAAUGAAGGAAAAGUUAGGCUCAGAAGCUUCAAUUUCAAUCGAAAAAGGUGAAGUGAUAAGCACACAUUACAAGCUAUUUUCCGCUGAUAUUCGUGACAUACCAAAACUGGAUUCAGUUAUUCGCAUGGCUGAAAUGGAUCCUAGCUUGCCGACCUUUAUAAUUGCAGAGUGUGUGCUUAUUUACCUGGACCCAACUGCCACUGGUGCUAUUGUGAGUUGGGCAUCUCAAAAGUUCUCCACUGCUGUCUUUUUCUUAUAUGAGCAGAUUCAUCCUGAUGAUGCAUUUGGGGAGCAAAUGAUUAGAAAUCUUGAGAGUAGAGGAUGCCCCCUUCUCGGUAUAAAUGCUACACCAACCUUGAGUCACAAGGAGAAACUUUUUCUUGGCAAUGGAUGGCAGAGAGCCGUUGCAUGGGAUAUGCUGAAAAUCUAUAAUGACUUCAUUGACAGUCAAGAAAGACGCAGAAUUUUAAAUUUGAUCCUGGCUGAGAACUCGGUUUCAGCUUGUGUUAUGCUGCACCUUUCCAUGAUGUCACUGCUGAUAAGGCUGCCCGCAAUGGAUGCAGGAUCGAACGGUUAGAACUGUUUGAUGAGUUUGAAGAGUGGUAUAUGAUGCAGGAACACUACUGUGUGGCCUAUGGAAUCAACGACGCCGAGGGCAUAUUUGACAGUUUUGGAUUUGGGGAGACAUAGCAGCACUGGUGCCUUUUCUUCUGUGGGUACCAGCUGCACUUGUUGUAAACCGACACCAUUAAUUCAAGUAUUACUCGAAGUAAACUUUGCUUGAUAAAAGAAGGAACGAUUGCUUGAUAAAAGAAGGAACGGACAGGGGUAGGAUACCUAAACAUCUCCUGAUGUUGGAGCUUGCUUUGAUAGGCUGUUCAAGUUCAACGGCGUUGUGCUUGGUUUAAGGUCUUUGGUGCCAGUCGCAGUGGUGUUUGAUGUCAAGCAUGCCAGGCUGCCAGUUCGUCACAAUAUGAACAGAACAGUGGUGCUUUCCAUUUUACUGUUUGCAGAUUUAGGUUAAAUCUGGUAGCACAUGUUUGCAGAAUAAAUCCGAUGUAGUUUCCUUCAGCCUCUUCA